CAACCCUCAUGCCCUAGCGGCGUGGUGUUGGGGCUCGGCCUGAACUUGCUUCGGGCCGUCCCCUAAAUCUAGUGGCGGACCCGCUGUGGCCUCCUCUGCGUAGUAGUAAUAUUUCGCAUGUGGAGAGCGGCGAGACCCUGCCGUAAAACCCCAACUUCUCAA
rnacentral:misc_RNA from 1 species